GAUGAUUUGAUCACAACAAAGUCGUCAUGGUGUUAAAUUGAUCUGUCAGUAUGUGUUAACUUCGCCUGUGAGGAACAUUCACAAAGCCACUCACUGGGCUCAUCAUCUCAUUAAAGUUCAAAGGUUUCCAAAAAUCUCAUCUCAGCAACUUGAUUGACAGUGAUUGGUCUCAAUUUGCAUAAAUGGGGGUGGGUGGGUUAUACCACUAUAAAUACUAACUUCUGUCAAUGUUGGGACACUUUAUAAGCAGAACAACCAGCCAUUUGUACAACCAAAAGGCAGAAACUGGUAAGAGCUGAAUAUGGAGGUUUUUGGUGAUGUGCAAGGAGCAGAGACUGAAUCAUCGGAGUGGACGGGUACAAGGAGAAAACGCAUUCGAGGAAGAUUCCGUGCAACUUUAGCUGGACUCCUAGAGCUGGAGGUGUUGAGGGUCAGGCACAAGGAGUUGGUGGAGACAGCACUGGGAAUACAUGAAAUACCUGUCCAGUCAGUCGACCCAGAGCUCCAACAAGGACAUCAGUACUGGGUAGAGGAGAGUUCCUACAGGCUGAAGCUAAAGCGUAGUCUUUCUCAAGAGAACAUCAUUGAUUCUGGGAAGACUAAGACAUUGGCAAACUCGAAGAGGGUUGCUGCCAGUCACUCAUCGGAAGAUUUACAACAGCUGUACUGUCCGGAUCGAAGACCAGUUCUGCGAUAUGAGGACAGUUGCUCAAGGGCAAGCUCUGGAUUCUGUGGAAGUGACUUUGGAAGCAUUUGCAACCAUACUGGUGAUGCCAUCAGCUCUCUCUCCAGCUCCCUGGCCUCUUUAAGUCACCGGAGUACUUUAAGUGACAUAGGUUACAGUGGGCAUGAAGGUACUGUACGCUGCCGUCCGAUUUUACUCAAAACCAGAGUGGAACACAGAGAAAAGAGCAGCAAAAAGGCUCAAGACUUCUCCAAAGAGGUGAUUCCACAGGCUGGUUUUCUCUCUGUGGUCGACUUGUACCCUGAUUCACACUGGCCUGAUGUUUCAGACAUCCUUCAGCCACAAGUUGUAUUGGAGCCUUCUUAUCGGUCUGAUCUCAUAAGCUCUCUAGGCUCAGAAGUUUACCGGUAUCCAAGCCCACUACAUGCUGUUGCUUUGCAG
rnacentral:lncRNA from 1 species